rnacentral:rRNA from 1 species
UAUAGGUUUGGUCCCAGCCUUCCUGUUAACUUUCAAUAGACUUAUACAUGCAAGCAUCCACGCCCCGGUGAGUAACGCCCUUCGAAUCACACAGGACUAAAAGGAGCAGGUAUCAAGCACACACUCUUGUAGCUCACAACGCCUUGCUUAACCACACCCCCACGGGAGACAGCAGUAACAAAAAUUAAGCCAUAAACGAAAGUUUGACUAAGCCAUAUUGACCAGGGUUGGUAAAUCUCGUGCCAGCCACCGCGGUCAUACGAUUGACCCAAGCUAACAGGAGUACGGCUAAAAGCGUGUUAAAGCAUCAUACUAAAUAGAGUUAAAUUUUAAUUAAACUGUAAAAAGCCAUAAUUAUAACAAAAAUAAAUGACGAAAGUAACCCUACAAUAGCUGAUACACCAUAGCUAAGACCCAAACUGGGAUUAGAUACCCCACUAUGCUUAGCCCUAAACACAAAUAAUUAU